CGGCCGCGUCGACCGCAGGUGGCAGUUCAAGUCUGCUGUCAAAGACCGGGGCUUAACUUCGGAAAGGCAGUGGAAACUGAACAGCUAGAGUAUGGUAGGGGCAGAGGGAGUUCCUGGUGUAGCGGUGAAAUGCGUAGAUAUAUGGAGGAACACCGGUGGCGAAAGCGGCUCUCUGGUCUGUAACUGACGCUGAGGCUCGAAAGCGUGGGGAGCGAACAGGAUUAGAUACCCUGGUAGUCCACGCCGUAAACGAUGAGUGCUAGGUGUUGGAUCCUUUCCGGGAUUCAGUGCCGCAGCUAACGCAUUAAGCACUCCGCCUG
rnacentral:rRNA from 1 species